rnacentral:miRNA from 1 species
UUAAGAGUAGGGAUUCUGUUCC